CAUGCAAGUCGUGCGGUAACACUUCGGGUGACGAGCGGCGGACGGGUGCGUAACGCGUGAGAAUCUACCUUUUAGUGGGGGACAACUCGGGGAAACUCGAGCUAAUACCGCAUAUGUUCUACGGAAUAAAGCAGGGGACCUUCGGGCCUUGCGCUAAAAGAUGAGCUCGCGCGAGAUUAGCUUGUUGGUGAGGUAAAGGCUCACCAAGGCGACGAUCUCUAGCUGGUCUGAGAGGAUGAUCAGCCACACUGGGACUGAGACACGGCCCAGACUCCUAUGGGAGGCAGCAGUGGGGAAUAUUGGACAAUGGGGGCAACCCUGAUCCAGCAAUUCCGCGUGUGUGAAGAAGGCCUGCGGGUUGUAAAGCACUUUCAGUAGCCAAGAUGGGAUUAUUUGCUAAUAUCAGAUGGUCUUGACAUUAACUACAGAAGAAGCACCGGCUAACUCCGUGCCAGCAGCCGCGGUAAUACGGAGGGUGCAAGCGUUAAUCGGAAUUACUGGGCGUAAAGAGUACGUAGGCGGCUUUGCAAGUCGGGUGUGAAAGCCCUGAGCUUAACUCAGGAACUGCAUUCGAUACUGCAUCGCUAGAGUUUAUUAGAG
rnacentral:rRNA from 1 species